UUUCAUAUGAUCUUCAGGGUUGUUUGCUAUAUCUUUAUGAUGAUUCUUUAAGAAGCUUUUCCUUCAUCUUUGGCAGUUUCAUCAGGUUCCCUAGGAAGUUAGUCUGGAGAUGGAACACAAGCUUUUCAGAUGUGAUAGUGAUCUUAAACCCUCAAGUUCUGAUAUCUGCCAAUUUUUGCUGAGAUGGUUGUAAGUUAUCCUCUCCAAAGCAGAGAUUGGACCCGGAGUAUUUGAAGGAAACUAUUUACUGACUGUUCAGCAGCCUUGGCAUACUCAAGUACCUCUGCUUGUGCUUCCAAAGCUCCUGUCCAAAGGAAGACCUCUAGCUGUCUUGAAAUCAUUAGAUAUUCACAUAGUGCAUAGGAGACCUGAAGUCUCAAUUCUGCCUGGUUUAAAAAUAAAAGCAGAGGCCUGGACUUUAUUCCAGAUGCCAGUGCUUGCUGCUAGUUCUUUGAGCCACAUCUCACCACAGUUAUUUCAGCAAACUUGUGUUGUCUGCACGUUGCCUUACAGGAUAACCAGUAUUUUCAGAUUUCUCGCUUCCUGCAAGUACUUACAGCUCCAUCUACCAUUGCAGAGACAGGGUGUUUCUUUGGCUUUGGUACAUGUUGGUACUUCCCCUAUUUUUUCAUCCCACUGUGCUACCUCCUGGUAGCAGAACAUACUUAGCAUGUUUCACUGAAGAGGAGAGCUAGUCACUUCAUUGCUAGUUGACAGUAGCUAAGCAGUGAGUACCCUCAGGCAGAAAACACUAUAUGCAGUUGAAGUGAUAGAAGCAGCUAGGUAAUUCUUAGCUUCUUGGAGUAGAAGGCUAGUUACAGAAUUGGGAAAAUAGGGAUGUUAAUCCAAAGCUAGCUUCAGUUUAGCGCUUCCAGGAAGCUCAGAAUAUGUCGUAUCAGCGUACAUGCACAUACUGGUUGGAUCCUGCUUAGACUGAGGGAGGAGGGGAGAAGAGUUUGCCAACUACUGUCCCUUGCAGUCAGCACAGAGAGCAAGAUUGGUUUCUCUAUGGCUUUUUCAGUCUAAGAGCAAAAGCUGUGUUGAUUGUGUCACUCUUAUUUGUAAUAAGGUUCCUCAUGGUUAGACAGUAUUGCACACAUCUUCAUUUUCCUGAAGCCCUUUUUUUCUGCCAUCAUGAAAGCAGUUUUUUUAAAAAAGCAGUUUAAGACAGAUUCUUUUAAAGCCUGUUAAGAGGCUUAUGAGCUAGAUUUUUGAUCUCUCUGAUGUUAUUUUAGGUAUCUCCCUGGAUUUGAGUGAGAUAUGUCUUGCAAAACCAAUAAGCAUACACAAGGGAAACUUUUUAUUUCUAUGGAUAAUUUUGUUCUCUGUGUUUGCUGUAACAGGCAAUGUGAAAAUCAACUACCUCUAACAGAAAUGGUGUUGCUCUGCCAUCUUAUGGCAGAGCUGAAAACAGAAUGUUCUGCUGGUUUUGGCUAUGUUGCAGACUUCUUUGGCUUUUUUUUCCUAUGACCUUUGCGACCUUUUACAGAAACAAACAAAUGAAAGCCUCACCACCAAUAAAAAACAAAAAGGAAAAAAAAAAUGCUCUACACUGACUUCAGCCUGGAAACCACCGUUGACAUUUUCACAUUUACUUUUCUACAGAUCUGGCACAAAAUGAGGAGUUUUCUGGGUGUGCUCCUUUCAUGGCUCUCUCCUCUCUUCCAAAUGGACCUCUCAAUCCAAGUCAGAGCUGGAGGCUGUCAGCCUGUUCUGUAGUUCUUCCUACACUGAUUGUAUUUUAUACUGAGUCUUAAAAAAAGUAAAUAAAAGCUGUUUAGUAAUGGUGGCCAAGCAGGACCAAGAG
ensembl:lncRNA